AAGAAUUAUUACUUUAAAGUAUUUGGUUGGGGUGACAAAAAUAAAAGAUAAAGUAACUGUUUUUUUUUUAUACAAUAAUGUUUGGGUUAGUGAUCCUAAAAUGGAUUAAAGAUUAAGUUACUUUAGGGAUAACAGCGUAAUUUUCUUUAAGAGUUCUUAUCGAUAAGAAAGUUUGCGACCUCGAUGUUGAAUUAAAGGUUCUUUAUGGAGUAGAGACUAUAAAAGAAGGUCUGUUCGACCUUUAAAACUUUACAUGAUUUGAGU
rnacentral:rRNA from 1 species